rnacentral:rRNA from 1 species
ACUCCUACGGGAGGCAGCAGUAGGGAAUCUUCCACAAUGGGCGCAAGCCUGAUGGAGCAACACCGCGUGAGUGAAGAAGGGUUUCGGCUCGUAAAGCUCUGUUGUUAAAGAAGAACACGUAUGAGAGUAACUGUUCAUACGUUGACGGUAUUUAACCAGAAAGUCACGGCUAACUACGUGCCAGCAGCCGCGGUAAUACGUAGGUGGCAAGCGUUAUCCGGAUUUAUUGGGCGUAAAGAGAGUGCAGGCGGUUUUCUAAGUCUGAUGUGAAAGCCUUCGGCUUAACCGGAGAAGUGCAUCGGAAACUGGAUAACUUGAGUGCAGAAGAGGGUAGUGGAACUCCAUGUGUAGCGGUGGAAUGCGUAGAUAUAUGGAAGAACACCAGUGGCAAAGGCGGCUACCUGGUCUGCAACUGACGCUGAGACUCGAAAGCAUGGGUAGCGAACAGGAUUAGAUACCCUGGUAGGCAAGAG